CAUAAAAGUUAAAAUAUUGAACCAAAGUGAGGAUAACUCAUCGCACUGCUGCUGAAUAUGUCUGAAUACGUCUGUAGUCCACCUGUGUCUGUUUUACUCAUCUGGUGCUGAUAACUCAGAGUCUGUUUUUGUUAUUUUCACCUGGAGUCACCUCCAAAUCCUGACCUGCUUCCGGUCUACAAAGAAUAAAUCACACAGAAAACCGAGAUUUAUGAGAAAUGGAAGGGAAAAGCGCUUUUUUGUUCUAAUUCCGAGGAGGCAAUGUGGUCAUUUUUCUUAUAUGGUUGAAGAAAAGCGGAGGAGGAGGCGGGUAGGUGGGUUGUUAGGUGAGGGAAGGGUGACGUCAGGUCCCAUCACGCUGACAGACCUCCUAUUGGUCCAGCGGAGGCUUUUAAAAGGUGCAGCCAGCAGCGCACCGGAGGCUUGAUCUCUGCGCUCAGGACGCGCCGCGGCUCUCCAUGCGCUCCAACCCGGAACGGAGCUCCGGACCGACCGGAGCCAGAUGUUGGUGAGGACGCGGCGCGGACCGGACCUUUCAUAUCAACAGGUCGACGCGCUAGAGAGAGACGGGAAAGCGUUUCCUCGUCCACCUGCACGCUGUGAGUAACUGUUAGCAUGUCGGCCAUCUGCCGCCUUGUCGUGGUUUUUUUUAUAAUUCUCCACGCAUUGCAUUGUGAAGUGCUAGAAGUCAGCCUACGUGUGUCUAUUUCUUUCCGAAUGUGAGACCUUCCUUUGCAAGUUUCCUCAAGUGUGAUGCCUGUUACGAGUCUGCAUGCAGGUGUGAAACCUGGCGUGCCCCGACUGCUUCAUUAGACGUACCACUUCGGCUGGUUUGUGUGAUUUUCCUCCUUUUUUUGUUUGCUGUUUCUGAAGUGAGUGUGUGUGUGUGUGUGUGUGUGACAAACUCCUUCAAGCAUGAUGCGUGUGUGUCUUCAUGAGUUUCUACGUCUGCCUGUAUACGUGUGUUUAUAAUCCAAGGCCAUUCAAUAGCGCCACAUGGAUCCAUCCCAUAUCCUGGUCGCCAUGGUAACCGAGGCCACUUAUCACAGAGGGUCCAGGCAGAUCAAACAGGUGUGCAUCUCUGCUCAACAACUGUUGCUAGGAACCUUUGUUGCGCAAAACGCACAGGUGCUUGUCGCCACCGGUGGAAACCAGCAGGAGCGCAAAAACAUUGUCUUGAUGUCCCAGUCUGAACUGGUGUGUGUGUGUGUGUGUGUGUGUGUGUGUAUACAGAGUCUUUGUUUGAAACAGUUUGGCUUCUUCCGAGAGGAUUUUUUUUCUUAAUAUCAUGUCACUCUGUGGGACAUCAAGUUGUCAUCUAGGUUAAAGGUCAAAUAUGACCAGCGUUGAAGUUAAAAUGUUAGACAUUCUUCUCUAUUUUUGCUUCUUUCAACUAAAAUCUGAAAAAAUUGAUUUUAAAAAUUCACAAAGGCAGUACAGCUUUCAUUAAAAGUGAAAGGAUUUUUAAAAGAGUCAUAUAGCGAUAUUUAAAAAAUAGCAUGUGAAGCAAACUUUGUAGUUUGUUCACAUCUGUGAUCGUUUGUACCUCCAGACAGAUAGUUUGUGAUUUUUAACAGUUUUGGUCACAUCACUGUGACCAAAAUUGCAACAUUUGUUAAAUUUCCAGAUUUUGUAGUUCUCUCUCACACUGCAUUGUGUGAAACAAACCAAACCGUUUGAAAAUCCUGUCCCCCCCUCAUCUGCGGUGGUGCUGCACCAAGAACCACUGAAGGAAACAACAU